rnacentral:rRNA from 1 species
GCACGACUCUCGGCAAUGGAUAUCUCGGCUCUUGCAUCGAUGAAGAGCGCAGCGAAAUGCGAUACGUGGUGCGAAUUGCAGAAUCCCGUGAACCAUCGAGUCUUUGAACGCAAGUUGCGCCUGAGGCCAGCCGGCCAAGGGCACGUCCGCCUGGGCGUCAAGC